UGCAUACUGAAUUCCCUAGGACUAUAAUCCAUAGGGAUUUAAAGCUUACAAAUAUUUUCUUGGGCGAGAACUGUGUUGUGCAAACUUGAUAAACCUUAAGAAGACUUAAGGCCCAAGAUUAAACUAAAUAAGUCGGUUUAGUUAAUAGAUUUGGGAUAAGAUUUAGCUAGGUUAGGAGUUAUCAAAUCCUAGUGUGUUUAGGACUUUUGGUUUUGUAUAAAUAGAGGUACCUAGUUUGUGGUAACCCUAUGAGUUGUUUUGAGAUUAAGAGAGAUUGUGUAAACCUUUGUUUUGAGUAAGUUUCAAAGGUAAUAAGAAGAGUUGUUCUUAUAAACACAAAGUCUUGAUCAUUAGGUUUUGGUCCUUAGUUCUUAAUUCAAUAUUUGGUAGCAGAGCCAUACUCUUGGAUUGAGUAACCUAGGAUCUAAAAGAAAGCUUUACACGCUACGAACAGAGUUCGUUAAAGGUGAAGCAUGGCUGAUAUAAUCCCGGUUCCAGCUAGGAACAAGGAGACUAGUUCUUCUAUACAGUGCCCGAUGCUUAGCACAUCAAACUACACUGCAUGGAACAUGCGAAUGAGAGGAGUACUUAGGGUUCAUAAAGUUUGGGAUACAAUAGAACCAGGAAACGACGAUGUAGAAAAGAAUGAUUUGGCUAAGGUUCUUUUGUUUCAAUCUAUACCAGAAGCAAUGAUUCUUCGAGUGGGAGAUUAUGAAACUGCAAAAGAAGUCUGGAAUGCAAUCAAAACAAGAAAUCUAGGUGCUGAAAGGGUAAAAGAAGCAAGAUUGCAAACUCUAAUGGCUGAAUUCGAUAAACUAAAGAUGAAAGAAACAGAGACAAUAGAAGAAUUUGCCGGAAAACUUUCUGAAAUAUCAACAAAAGCAGUUACAUUAGGGGAAAGCAUUGAGGAACCAAAACUUGUCAAGAAAUUUCUUAAAAGUGUACCUCGUAAGAAAUACAUUCACAUAGUUGCUUCUCUUGAACAAGUACUCGAUUUAAAGACAACAAGUUUUGAAGAAAUAGUCGGAAGACUAAAAGUAUAUGAAGACAGAGUAUGUGAUGAAGAAGAUCAACAUGAUGAUCAAGGAAAGCUCAUGUAUGCUAACUCAGAAUCACAAACCUAUCAAGAAAACUAUGGUUCAGGAAGAGGCCGAGGAUCUAGUUUCAGAGGCAGAGGCAGAGGACGAUUUGGUACUCAACAGAAUGGUUCUGUUAGACAAGGAAAAGAUAAAACUAAAGUCAUAUGUUACAGAUGUGAUAAGAGUGGACACUAUGCUUCAAAUUGUCCUGAUAGACUACUAAAACUCCAAGAAACACUGGAGAAUGAUGAAGACGAAACUCAAGAAGCUGAUAGACUAAUGAUGCAUGAAAUAGUCUACUUAAACGAAAAAAAUGUAAAGCCAGACAAAUUUGAGAUUCAGAAGGAUGGUGACAAUACCUGGUAUUUAGAUAAUGGUGCAAGCAACCACAUGACAGGAAACAAAGAGUAUUUCUCUAAACUUGAUGAAACAAUCACAGGAAAAGUGAGAUUUGGAGAUGAUUCAUGCAUAGAUAUUAAAGGAAAAGGAUCAAUUCUCUUUGUAAGCAAGGAUGGUGAAAGAAAAAUACUUGCAGAUGUGUACUAUAUACCUAAUCUAAGAAGCAGUAUCAUAAGUCUCGGACAGGCCACAGAAGCAGGCUGUGAUAUUAGGAUGAAAGAUGAGCAACUAACAAUACAUGACCAACAAGGUAGACUACUUGUAAAUGCUAAGAGAUCAAAGAACAGACUGUACAAGGUUCUUAUGAAAGUUGAACCAACAAAAUGUUUACAAAUAGAAGAAGUUAGUGACUCAGCAAAGUGGCAUGCAAGAUUAGGACACAUAGGGUUAGAUACUAUGAAGUCUAUGAUAAGUAAAGAGUUAGUCAUUGGUUUACCUAGUAUAACAGUUGAAAAGGAAACAUGUUCUUCAUGCUUACUAGGAAAACAAGUAAGACAAAGCUUUCCUCAGGCUACAUCAUACAGAGCUUCACACAUAUUGGAACUCAUACAUGGAGACUUGUGUGGACCAAUUACACCCUCCACAGCCGCACAAAACAAGUAUAUCUUUGUACUAAUAGAUGAUUACUCCAGAUAUAUGUGGUCAUUGCUUCUGAAGGAGAAAAGUGAAGCAUUUGAAAAAUUUAAAAAAUUCAAAGUUCUAAUCGAGCAGGACACUGGAACAAGAAUAAAGACGUUCAGAACUGAUAGAGGUGGAGAAUUUACCUCUCAUGAAUUUCAAAGUUUCUGUGAUAAUUCAGGUAUUCAGAGACAUUUAACAGCUCCAUACUCACCACAACAGAAUGGUGUAGUAGAAAGAAGGAAUAGAACUUUACUUGAGAUGACUAGGAGCAUUCUAAAGCAUAUGAAAAUGCCGAAUCAUUUAUGGGGAGAGGCAGUGAGACAUGCUACUUACCUCAUAAACAGAGUGGCAACAAGAACUUUAAAAGAUAAAACUCCAUAUGAAGCAUUUAAAGGAAAGAAACCAAACAUCAUACAUUUGAAAGUAUUCGGAUGUAUUUGUUAUGCAAAGACUGAAACACAGCACUUGAAGAAACUUGAUGACCGAUCAAAAGCUUUAGUCCAUCUUGGAACAGAACCCGGAUCCAAAGCGUAUAGAUUAUUGGAUCCAGCAAAAAGGAGAAUUGUGGUAAGUAGAGACGUAGUCUUUGAUGAGAAAAGAAGUUGGAAUUGGAAUCAUUCAGGAAAAGAUGAGAGUGAUAAUGUUCCUGGAAUGUUCAAACUCAGACUUGGAGAAUACGGAAAUCAUGGUCUAAGAGAAGAAGCUUCAGAAACAGAAAACAGAACAGAAGAAACAGGAGUAGAAGAAAAUGAAAAUACUAAUGAAGCUUUAGAUAAAGAGAAUGAUUUUUCUGAAAAUACUUCUGAAACAUCUUUAGAAGAAACUGAAAACCAAGAACAGGCCCCAAUGCAACCAGCCUUAAGACGAUCUGAGAGACAGAGCCAUAAACCAGGGUAUCUAAAUGACUAUGUACUCUUAGCUGAAGCUGAAUAUGAAAUAAUUGAGCAUCUCUUGCUAACAUUAAAUGAAGAACCAUGGGAUUAUAAAGAAGCAAAGGAGUUAAAAGAAUGGAGAGAUGCUUGUGAUGAGGAAAUCAGUUCAAUAAACAAGAACAAAACUUGGAGUCUAGUAGAUCUUCCAAAGGGAGCAAAAGCAAUUGGUCUAAAAUGGGUUUUUAAAAUAAAACGCAACUCUGAUGGAAGCAUAAACAAAUACAAGGCACGCCUUGUGGCAAAAGGAUAUGUUCAAAGAUAUGGAGUUGACUUUGAAGAAGUGUUUGCACCAGUAGCACGCAUUGAGACUAUUAGGUUUAUCCUUGCUUUAGCUGCGUCAAAUGGAUGGGAGGUUCAUCACUUAGAUGUAAAGACUGCAUUUCUCCAUGGAGAGUUGAAAGAAGUUGUGUUUGUUGUACAGCCAGAGGGAUUUGAGAUAAAAGGGAGUGAAACCAAGGUUUACAAAUUACAUAAGGCUCUAUAUGGUUUAAAACAAGCUCCAAGAGCUUGGAACAAUAAGCUAAACUCUAUUCUUAAGGAAUUGAAGUUUAUCAAAUGUUCUAAAGAACCAUCCUUAUACCAUAAACAGGAUAAAGAUCAUCUUCUCAUUGUUGUUGUGUAUGUAGAUGAUCUGUUAAUCACGGGUUCAAACUUGGAUGUGAUACUUGAGUUUAAAAGGGGCAUGGCAACAAAGUUUGAAAUGAGCGAUUUGGGAAAAUUGACUUAUUAUCUAGGUAUAGAGGUACAUCAACAUGCAGGAGGCAUUACUCUGAAACAAGAGAGGUAUGCAUCAAAGAUACUAAGUGAAACCAGAAUGGAAGGAUGUAAUGCGGUUCACUCACCAAUGAAUGCAAAUCUGAAACUAAGCAAGGCAUCAGAGGAAAAAAAUAUUGAUGAAACAGAGUAUAGGAGAAGUAUUGGAUGUUUGAGAUACUUGCUACAUACUAGGCCAGAUCUCUCCUUUUGUGUUGGUGUAUUAAGCAGAUACAUGCAUGAGCCCAAAGAAUCUCAUGGUACAGCACUCAAGCAAAUUCUCAGAUAUUUGAAAGGAACAACAGGUUAUGGUUUAACAUUUGCUAGAAAGACAGAACCUAAACCUGAAACAAGACUCCUAGGCUAUAGUGAUAGCAGUCAUAAUGUAGAUGAGGACGAUGGUAGAAGCACUACAGGCCACAUUUUCUAUCUACAUAAUUGUCCUAUUACAUGGUGUACGCAGAAACAGAACACAGUAGCCUUAUCAUCUUGCGAAGCAGAAUUCAUGGCUGCAACAGAAGCAGCAAAACAGGCGAUAUGGUUGCAGGAUCUUCUGAGUGAGGUUAUGGGAGAAACAUGUGACAAAGUAUUACUCCGGAUAGAUAACAAAUCCGCUAUAGCACUUGCCAAGAAUCCUGUGUUUCACGGCAGAAGUAAACAUAUUCAUAAAAGGUAUCAUUUUAUUAGGGAAUGUGUUGAGAAUGAUCAAAUUGAGCUAGAACAUGUUCCCGGGGAUGCACAAAAGGCAGACAUUUUAACUAAGGCAUUGGGACGGAUUAAGUUCAAAGAAAUGAGGGAACUUACAGGUGUUCAUGAUGUGGAGAUUGGAGAUAUCAAGUUUGAAGGGGAGAAUGUUGUGCAAACUUGAUAAACCUUAAGAAGACUUAAGGCCCAAGAUUAAACUAAAUAAGUCGGUUUAGUUAAUAGAUUUGGGAUAAGAUUUAGCUAGGUUAGGAGUUAUCAAAUCCUAGUGUGUUUAGGACUUUUGGUUUUGUAUAAAUAGAGGUACCUAGUUUGUGGUAACCCUAUGAGUUGUUUUGAGAUUAAGAGAGAUUGUGUAAACCUUUGUUUUGAGUAAGUUUCAAAGGUAAUAAGAAGAGUUGUUCUUAUAAACACAAAGUCUUGAUCAUUAGGUUUUGG
rnacentral:lncRNA from 1 species